GACGAACGCUGGCGGCGUGCUUAACACAUGCAAGUCGAACGCUGAAGCUUGGUGCUUGCACUGGGUGGAUGAGUGGCGAACGGGUGAGUAAUACGUGAGUAACCUGCCCUUGACUCUGGGAUAAGCCUGGGAAACUGGGUCUAAUACUGGAUACGACAUGUCACCGCAUGGUGGYGUGUGGAAAGGGUUUUACUGGUUUUGGAUGGGCUCACGGCCUAUCAGCUUGUUGGUGGGGUAAUGGCUCACCAAGGCGACGACGGGUAGCCGGCCUGAGAGGGUGACCGGCCACACUGGGACUGAGACACGGCCCAGACUCCUACGGGAGGCAGCAGUGGGGAAUAUUGCACAAUGGGCGAAAGCCUGAUGCAGCGACGCCGCGUGAGGGAUGACGGCCUUCGGGUUGUAAACCUCUUUCAGCACGGAAGAAGCGAAAGU
rnacentral:rRNA from 1 species